UCUUUUUACUUCUUUCUUUCUUCACUCUUCUGCCUCUUUUCCUCUCAGUUUUUUUUUUUCUUCUUUCUCUCUUAUUCUUUCUCCUCUCAAUUCGUCUCCAUUUUUUCCCCUCUCUUUCUCUGAUUUUUUGUUACUCUGAUUUUUUUCUUCUUGGUUUUAUGUUUCUCUCUCUCCCUCUAUAUCUCUUUCUUUGCAACUCUGUUAUUCUAUUUCUCUUUUUUUUCUCUCUUCAUUUUUUGUUUCUCUGUACAUAUAUGUGUUCAUCUUGUAGAUCUGGGUGAAGUUCUUAGAGAUCUGGGUGAAGUUCUUGGAGAUCUGGGUUAAGUUAUUGUAGAUCUGGGUAAAGAGCCCGUUUAAAGCAGGUACUGAAGUAGCAUGGAUAAAAAGAAAGACUGAAGAUGUUGCAGAACAUUGAAUAUGUUCUAUUUCUGUAAUUUGUUUGUAAUUAAAUUUGUUUAUUUUGUUUUGUUUUUAGGUUGUAAGUUUUAUUUUAAUGCUUGAUAUUUGUUGUUUUGUCAAUUAGCAGUGCGUGGAUGUGAAUUGGGCCAAUCGGUAAUAAUUAGGCCCAAAAGGUUUUAAAUAUCAA